rnacentral:rRNA from 1 species
UACGGGGGGGGCAAGCGUUGUUCGGAAUUACUGGGCGUAAAGCGCGUGUAGGCGGCUCGGAAAGUCGGAUGUGAAAGCCCUGGGCUUAACCUAGGAAGUGCAUUCGAAACUCCCGAGCUUGAGUUCUGGAGAGGAAGGCGGAAUUCUCGGUGUAGAGGUGAAAUUCGUAGAUAUCGAGAGGAACACCGGUGGCGAAGGCGGCCUUCUGGACAGUGACUGACGCUGAGACGCGAAAGCGUGGGGAGCAAACAGG